GCUUGCACUCUUUGGACGUCGACCGGCGCACGGGUGAGUAACGCGUAUCCAACCUUCCCAUUACUGUGGGAUAACCUGCCGAAAGGCAGACUAAUACCGCAUAGUCUUCGAUGACGGCAUCAGAUUUGAAGUAAAGAUUUAUCGGUAAUGGAUGGGGAUGCGUCUGAUUAGCUUGUUGGCGGGGUAACGGCCCACCAAGGCGACGAUCAGUAGGGGUUCUGAGAGGAAGGUCCCCCACAUUGGAACUGAGACACGGUCCAAACUCCUACGGGAGGCAGCAGUGAGGAAUAUUGGUCAAUGGACGGAAGUCUGAACCAGCCAAGUAGCGUGCAGGAUGACGGCCCUAUGGGUUGUAAACUGCCUUUGUAUGGGGAUAAAGUUAGGGACGUGUCCCUAUUUGCAGGUACCAUACGAAUAAGGACCGGCUAAUUCCGUGCCAGCAGCCGCGGUAAUACGGAAGGUCCAGGCGUUAUCCGGAUUUAUUGGGUUUAAAGGGAGGCGUAGGCUGGAGAUUAAGUGUGUCGUGACAUGUAGACGCUCAACGUCUGAAUUCCAGCGCAUACUUGGUUUCCCUUGAGUACGCACAACGUUGGCGGAAUUCGUCGUGUAGCGGUGAAAUGCUUAGAUAUGACGAAGAACUCCGAUUGCGAAGGCAGCUGACGGGAGCGCAACUGACGCUUAAGCUCGAAGGUGCGGGUAUCAAACAGGAUUAGAUACCCUGGUAGUCCGCACAGUAAACGAUGGAUG
rnacentral:rRNA from 1 species